rnacentral:misc_RNA from 1 species
AACUAAUGAUGGACAGAAAUACCUAAAGCUAAACCUGGAGCCUGAUCAUAUUGCUCCGUGGUUGAAGGAAUACAAGGAAGGUAAAUUGCUACCAUACAAGAAAUCUGAACCAAUUCCUGAAGUCAACAACGAGCCUGUGAAAGUUGUUGUUGCUGAUAGUCUCCAUGACAUGGUUAACAACUCUGGAAAAAAUGUUCUUCUGGAGUUUUAUGCUCCCUGGUGUGGACACUGCAAAAAAUUGGCUCC